CUUUACAAGUUGUGGUGCAGCCUUCCUCCUGUGGAAUGGGGCAAUGCACAUGAUGGCUAUGGUGCCCAGAUUCUAGGACACUGUGGCACAGGUUGGUGAGCAGCCAGCUGCAGCCAGCUGCAACAAAUCACUCUGACCAAGAAGAGGUCAUGAGUUCGAGGCCAGCUCGGAGCCUGUGUUUGUCUCUGUCUUUGUUCUAUGUUAAGGCAUUGAAUGUUUGCCUUAUAUGUGUAAUGUGAUCUGCUCUGAGAAGGAUGGAAUAUAAAUACUGUAAAUAAAUAAAUACAAUAAAUAGACUGGGGGCAACUGUGUAGAAGGUGUGGGCCUCCUGAAUGCCUUUUUGGUUUAUUGUACAUGUGAUCCCGGCCAUGAAAGCCUUCGACAACACAUCCAACAGGUUCUAUUCUGUUAUAGGGUUUAGUGCUCUCUAUUUUGUCCAGAGAUUUUAUCGCAAGAGGCAAGUAGUCUAGUAUUGUUGCCUUGGGCUCAAGACACGAUGUUGUUCCUUUCCUGACACUCUCUAAAUGGGAAAGAAGGUCAUUCAUGGACUAUUAUUUGUGUUGGUUUCACACUGAGAGAACGACGGGAACGGAGAAGUCCAAGCCACAUUCACUGUUAUCCUGAUAGAAUUGCGAUUUGCCCCAGCUUCUGCCAACCUAGCAAUUCAAAAACAUGCAAAUGCAAAGCGUAUCCAUAGCAAAGAUCUGAGCGUUGCUCCGCUGAUACCAUUUGAGUGCCUUCCUGAAGGCGAUUGUCUGUUGCCAUGGGUUUCUUCAAGGCUUCCUUCGUCUUUGUAAUAAAGGUGACAUGAGGCCUUCCAGUGGGAAACGCCCUCCCGACAGAAAGUGUGGGCCACAAAUAAACUGAUCCAAAUCAAGUAAGUAAGUAAGUGCCGUAUAUACUCUAAGAUAAAGUAAGUUUUUCAGCCCUUAUUUAUGAGCUGAAAAAGCCUCCCUCGUUGCUUGCAAUAUAGGAUCUAUUUAUCUCUCAUCUUGCCCUCCCUUAUCUGUGUUUACGUUUUUGUUACUUGCAAUAGAUUAUAUAUUUAUCUCUCAUCUUCCCCUCCCUUAUCAGUGUUUACUUUUCCGUUACUUGCAAUAUAUAUUUAUCUCUCAUCUUCCCCUCCCUUAUCAGUGUUUACUUUUCCAUUACUUGCAAUAUAUGAUAUAUUUAUCUCUCAUCUUACCCUCCCUUAUCAGUGUUUACUUUUCCGUUACUUGCAAUAUAUGAUAUAUUUAUCUCUCAUCUUACCCUCCCUUAUCAGUGUUUACUUUUCUGUUACUUGCAAUAUGAUAUAUUUAUCUCUCAUCUUGCCCUCCCUUAUCAGUGUUUACUUUUCCGUUACUUGCAAUAUAUGAUAUAUUUAUCUCUCAUCUUGCCCUCCCUUAUCAGUGUUUACUUUUCCGUUACUUGCAAUAUAUGAUAUAUUUAUCUCUCAUCUUACCCUCCCUUAUCAGUGUUUACUUUUCCGUUACUUGCAAUAUGUGAUAUAUUUAUCUCUUACUCUCCCUUAUCAGUGUUUUGUUUUCCAAAGCCUCCCUCGCUCUCAACCAAGGGUAUGUUUUGAAAAGGGAAAGAAGCCCUUGCAAGUCAGGAAGAAGGAUGUAUAUAUACCCAUUGAUCUUAUAAAAACAUUUUCCCCUAAAAUAUUUGUUAAUCUCUGCUACAGAUAUAUAGGGUAGGCAUUUCUCCCUGCAAACCUUCCCUUUGUACCUUUAUAUUUGUAUCUAUCUAUAUACAUUAAUUUUAUAUAGGAAUUUCUCCCUCAUAUGUUUGCAAGUCUUUGCAAAUCCUAUAAACAUAUGGAUAUCUAGAGAUUUCAAUGUACCUGUAUUUCUGUAUCUAUGUGUAUAAAUUAUUUUAUAUAUGAAUUUUCGCCUCACAUGUUUGCAAGUCUUUGCAAACCCUAUACAGAUAUAAUUAUCUAUAUAGAGAGAUGUCUAGAUAGAUAUAUAUGAAUAUAGAUAUAUAGGGCUUGUAAAUAUUGCAGGGGAAAUGCUUCUCAUGCCACCAGCCGAAGACUAUCCAUGGGGGGCUACUAUAGCACGAAAGACCAGUCAAGGGGAUGGCGAUAAGGCAGCUGUAGUGGAGACCAACAUGUGGAACUCUUACACUGUGUGCAACCAUGUAGAAUCUCAGCUAGAAAAAGAUUUAAGAGAGAAAACAUCACUUUGUUGUGUCUAGUUCUGUUUUCUGGGGCGCAUAAGUCAAUGGCUGGUCUCCUUUGGAGAUGUAACACCUGUCUGAAAUCCAAAACUCUUGUUUGCCUCUCCGAGCUUUGUUGCUUCAUGUUAUCCAAAUCAAGUUCCUUAUAGUGAAAGAAAAAACAAAUCAAUUCUCUUAAAAAAAGAACUGGUAUGUGUCAGGGAAAGACUUUCUAGCAAUGGUGAGUCAUUGGCCUAGACCCAGAAUAAAAAAGAGAGAUUUCUUGUAGGCAGCAUAUGAUAUAUUCAGUCUACGAAUAUUCAUUCAGACUUGGGCGGACUCUUGAAAGUGAUGCCGCCGACUCUCCUCCACCUCCAGCUCUCGAGGUUUUGAGAGCAUUGAAUUGCUUCGACUCAUUUCUUGCAUGAGUUGUUUUCACAGGUGAAACAAAAGCUUGGUAGUCAGCCUUGUCGGUUUUGCAGGAGAA
rnacentral:lncRNA from 1 species